rnacentral:rRNA from 1 species
UCCGUAGGGGAACCUGCGGAAGGAUCAUUACCGAGUGAGGGCCCUCUGGGUCCAACCUCCCACCCGUGUUUAUCGUACCUUGUUGCUUCGGCGAGCCCGCCUCACGGCCGCCGGGGGGCAUCCGCCCCCGGGCCCGCGCUCGCCGAAGACACCAUUGAACUCUGUCUGAAGAUUGCAGUCUGAGUGAUUAACUAAAUCAGUUAAAACUUUCAACAACGGAUCUCUUGGUUCCGGCAUCGAUGAAGAACGCAGCGAAAUGCGAUAAGUAAUGUGAAUUGCAGAAUUCAGUGAAUCAUCGAGUCUUUGAACGCACAUUGCGCCCCCUGGUAUUCCGGGGGGCAUGCCUGUCCGAGCGUCAUUGCUGCCCUCAAGCACGGCUUGUGUGUUGGGCCCCGCCCCCCGGUUCCGGGGGGCGGACCCGAAAGGCAGCGGCGGCACCGCGUCCGGUCCUCGAGCGUAUGGGGCUUCGUCACCCGCUCUGUAGGCCCGGCCGGCGCCCGCCGGCGACCCCAAUCAAUCUAUCCAGGUUGACCUCGGAUCAGGUAGGGAUACCCGCUGAACUUAAGCAUAUCAAUAAGCGGAGGA